rnacentral:lncRNA from 1 species
UGUCCUAAAUGCACACCUGUCAGAAGUGAGCGUAAAUCUGACCAGAGUCAUUAGAGGUAUGAAAGAUGGUGAACACGGAAUCACUUCAGUUGGGGGAGUUGCAAUGAAUGAGGUGCAGCCCUAUGAUGGAAGAAGCACAGACACUGAGAAUGACAUGAUGCUGAAGGACUUCUGGAGUCAUGCCUAGUUACAGACUCUCCAGCAACCAUAUUGUAAUGGCAUUCAUAAAUGCAUCAAGAUGGGUUUUCUCAAAUCAAAAACAAGUCUCACCACUCCUGGUUACAGGAAUCAGGAUUGAAAAUCUAUUAGAGCUCAUGAGCAACCAUCCUUGGGAGCCCCUCGUCUGCUGCCUGAUGGUUACACUGCUGCAAGAUUCAAGAACAUACUGUCUCACUUGUUCUGAUUCUGGCCUGGGUUGGUUUGUGCAAAUAUUAACGUUGGCUUUUCCCAUUCUCAGCCUGCCUCCUCAUAUGGAAGUUCAAAGCAGCCUUUAUUCCCAGGAUUUGUAUGUUCCUCCAGUUAUCACGACAUUUGGCCCUGCAAGAAAAUACUUUUUAACCUUCAUAAGAUGUUUGAUGGUUUUUAUUAAUGAAAUUCAAGAUGCUGGACGUGAUUUGAGAACUGCGUUGCAGUCCAUCAAAAUGCUAUUUUCCUAG